AGUCAUAAUUGCUAUUCCCUAUAAAUAGUGAUUGUGAUGAGCGAUGCGGACGUGCGCCAACACGUUCGCAUCGCGCU
rnacentral:antisense_RNA from 1 species